AAAGUUAAUCAAUCCAAAAGCAACGCGAGCCUGCUGCAAGCUAUUUGUUUCGUAAAACUUUUGAUUACGAAUGGUCUCUGUUCAGUGGUUAAAUGAACCAUGUUUAUUUGACGUUCUUAUUAUCUCACUAAGAUGAAGAUUGGCGAGUUGAGCUCAUUUUAGAUAAUUUAACAUUCAAUUUUAAUUCCCGCUUGGGAAUUGUCUAUGUUUUGUUUUCCAUGCAAUUCUCCCAACGGUGGAGGAAUGUGAUUUCGACCGCGGCAAUUUUUAUUUGACGAGUAUGUGGCCAUUUCUCAUUGCUACGAUUUAAAAAGAGUAUCAUUGAAAAGCUAAAUAACUGUUCUUUCGUCUUAUAUAAAAAUUGAAUUGUUUAGUUAAGUAUAUAUGAUGCAUGCACUGAUGCACGACAGCCUGUUGAAUUUCUAUACGACACCCUGUAUUUCAAUAAUUCAUUCCUUUUAGUUCUAUC
rnacentral:lncRNA from 1 species